AGUGAACGCUGGCGGCGUGCCUAAUACAUGCAAGUCGAACGGAGUGGCGCACGGGUGAGUAAUGUAUAGCUAAUCUGCCCUACACUAGAGGACAACAGUUGGAAACGGCUGCUAAUACUCUAUAGUGUAGGAUGAGGCUAUAUUGUAUCAGCUAGUUGGUGAGGUAAUGGCUCACCAAGGCUAUGACGCAUAACUGGUCUGAGAGGAUGAUCAGUCACACUGGAACUGAGACACGGUCCAGACUCCUACGGGAGGCAGCAGUAGGGAAUAUUGCUCAAUGGGGGAAACCCUGAAGCAGCAACGCCGCGUGGAGGAUGACACUUGUCGGAGCGUAAACUCCUUUUGUUAGGGAAGCGGUACCUAACGAAUAAGCACCGGCUAACUCCGUGCCAGCAGCCGCGGUAAUAC
rnacentral:rRNA from 1 species